rnacentral:lncRNA from 1 species
CGUCAAGCGUUCUUAAAGGAAGGUCAUACGCCAGUUAAACUCUGCCGUUUUGCCUCUUAGCGUGCAUGCCUGAGCCCAUUUGCCCAACUCCUGAGAUCUUAUUGGGAAGCUGCUGAUCACCAGCUUCAGCUGUUUUCUAUCUAUUGGGAGCCGGCCUGUCCCUGGCACCAGCUGCAACCAAUUACUGUUUUAGAGAGACAGUUUAACAACAGCCUGGCCAUCACCUGAUGGUCGCCUGACAUUCCUGGGGCCAAGCGGGGGCUUCUCCUGCCCUGCUCAUGUCUGCUUAAGUACCUACUCUAAAAAUUCCAAGUUGCAGCAAAAGAAUCCCAGCAACAUAUUUCAUAUUGAGACAUUAGCGACAGCAGCACUGUGACCAAGUAAUGGGGCUGGAGGGGACCAAAAAAUAAGAGCCUCCCUUCUGCCCUAUUCUUCCCAGAAUAGAGAGAAUCGGGAAGACUGUGGACCACAUGUCUCCAGUUCCAUUUUCCUGAGCUUACACCUUUCAAUAAGCCCACUCCACCCUGGGGUAGAGGAAGAAGGCUGGGUAAGCUACCAGAUGACACUCCUCACCAACUACCCACCAACACAGAGGGAGAAAAAGCAAACUUUUUGGAGUGAAGAUGAGUGUCCAUUAUGUCAAGAACCUCAAGGGAAACCGGUUCUGCAACUCAGGGGUCCCAUCCCCCUGCCUGUAAGGAACCGGCUGCACAGCACAAGGUCAAUUCACAAGCUCUUGUGCUUCAUUUGAGCCAGAAGACACCACUGAACAGAUCAUGGUUUCAGUACCUACACUGGCUGUUUUUCAUUCAAGGUGCAAGAGUGGUUCCAAAAGCUAUGCAAGGGAUUACUUUUUGCCAAACUAAUUAUCACAAUUAUUGAGAAAUAUGACAAAGACCUAAAAGUAUCAAACAUUGCCUACAUUUGAUAGGCUUUGAAUAAAAGAUAAGUUAAUUUCAACAGGCUGUGAUUAAAACUGUCCAUAAUAAUAAUAAUGAUAAAACAAUUGUCAUAUGUUGAGAUUAAUAAAUGUUACACAAAAUGUUUCAAAUGUAUUUUAUCUUCUACAGUCUAUAAGAUGGACACUAUAAUUUUCCCCAUUUUAUAUUUGAGGUUUAGGCCAUUGUUAAAGCUUUCCCAGAGUUAUAUAUCUGAUAUGGCAGAGCCAGGGCCUUCAGGAGAGACGCUGGAAUACCUUUGUUGAAAAUUAAGCUAGACUCUAGUAGUUCUCAGUUGAAUUAAUUGGGAACAAUUUACCAAGUAAUGAAUAAUUGGUACAAAACUGUAAGUAAUAAAAUGCUGAAUAGUGAAAAAGAGAUUCUGAAGUCCUAGAGAGAUCAGCAAAAAAGCAAAUCCAAAGCAGAAGGCUCGCAGUAGAAGGUGCAAUGUGAGCUGUGCUUUGAAACGGCUCUGAUGGUACAAAAAGAGGAACAAAGACAGAGACAGCAGGAUGGAAGGGAUUGGAAGGUUA